GAGUUUGAUCAUGGCUCAGAUUGAACGCUGGCGGCAGGCUUAACACAUGCAAGUCGAGCGGGGGAAGGUAGCUUGCUACCGGACCUAGCGGCGGACGGGUGAGUAAUGCUUAGGAAUCUGCCUAUUAGUGGGGGACAACAUCUCGAAAGGGAUGCUAAUACCGCAUACGUCCUACGGGAGAAAGCAGGGGAUCUUCGGACCUUGCGCUAAUAGAUGAGCCUAAGUCGGAUUAGCUAGUUGGUGGGGUAAAGGCCUACCAAGGCGACGAUCUGUAGCGGGUCUGAGAGGAUGAUCCGCCACACUGGGACUGAGACACGGCCCAGACUCCUACGGGAGGCAGCAGUGGGGAAUAUUGGACAAUGGGGGGAACCCUGAUCCAGCCAUGCCGCACUGUGUGUGAAGAAGGCCUUAUGGUUGUAAAGCACUUUAAGCGAGGAGGAGGCUACUUUAGUUAAUACCUAGAGAUAGUGGACGUUACUCGCAGAAUAAGCACCGGCUAACUCUGUGCCAGCAGCCGCGGUAAUACAGAGGGUGCGAGCGUUAAUCGGAUUUACUGGGCGUAAAGCGUGCGUAGGCGGCUUAUUAAGUCGGAUGUGAAAUCCCCGAGCUUAACUUGGGAAUUGCAUUCGAUACUGGUGAGCUAGAGUAUGGGAGAGGAUGGUAGAAUUCCAGGUGUAGCGGUGAAAUGCGUAGAGAUCUGGAGGAAUACCGAUGGCGAAGGCAGCCAUCUGGCCUAAUACUGACGCUGAGGUACGAAAGCAUGGGGAGCAAACAGGAUUAGAUACCCUGGUAGUCCAUGCCGUAAACGAUGUCUACUAGCCGUUGGGGCCUUUGAGGCUUUAGUGGCGCAGCUAACGCGAUAAGUAGACCGCCUGGGGAGUACGGUCGCAAGACUAAAACUCAAAUGAAUUGACGGGGGCCCGCACAAGCGGUGGAGCAUGUGGCGUUUAAUUCGAUGCAACGCGAAGAACCUUACCUGGCCUUGACAUACUAGAAACUUUCCAGAGAUGGAUUGGUGCCUUCGGGAAUCUAGAUACAGGUGCUGCAUGGCUGUCGUCAGCGCGUGUCGUGAGAUGUUGGGUUAAGUCCCGCAACGAGCGCAACCCUUUUCCUUACUUGCCAGCAUUUCGGAUGGGAACUUUAAGGAUACUGCCAGUGACAAACUGGAGGAAGGCGGGGACGACGUCAAGUCAUCAUGGCCCUUACGGCCAGGGCUACACACGUGCUACAAUGGUCGGUACAAAGGGUUGCUACACAGCGAUGUGAUGCUAAUCUCAAAAAGCCGAUCGUAGUCCGGAUUGGAGUCUGCAACUCGACUCCAUGAAGUCGGAAUCGCUAGUAAUCGCGGAUCAGAAUGCCGCGGUGAAUACGUUCCCGGGCCUUGUACACACCGCCCGUCACACCAUGGGAGUUUGUUGCACCAGAAGUAGCUAGCCUAACUGCAAAGAGGGCGGUUACCACGGUGUGGCCGAUGACUGGGGUGAAGUCGUAACAAGGUA
rnacentral:rRNA from 1 species